CCUACGGGCGGCAGCAGUGGGGAAUAUUGGACAAUGGGUGGAACCCUGAUCCAGCCAUGCCGCGUGUGUGAAGAAGGCCCUCGGGUUGUAAAGCACUUUCAGUGAGGAAGAACGCCUGGUGGUUAAUACCCAUCAGGAAAGACAUCACUCACAGAAGAAGCACCGGCUAACUCCGUGCCAGCAGCCGCGGUAAUACGGAGGGUGCGAGCGUUAAUCGGAAUUACUGGGCGUAAAGCGCGCGUAGGUGGCUUGAUAAGCCGGUUGUGAAAGCCCCGGGCUCAACCUGGGAACGGCAUCCGGAACUGUCAAGCUAGAGUGCAGGAGAGGAAGGUAGAAUUCCCGGUGUAGCGGUGAAAUGCGUAGAGAUCGGGAGGAAUACCAGUGGCGAAGGCGGCCUUCUGGACUGACACUGACACUGAGGUGCGAAAGCGUGGGUAGCAAACAGGAUUAGAUACCCGAGUAGUC
rnacentral:rRNA from 1 species